rnacentral:rRNA from 4 species
UGGUGGGUAGUUUGACUGGGGCGGUCUCCUCCUAAAGAGUAACGGAGGAGCACGAAGGUUGGCUAAUCCUGGUCGGACAUCAGGAGGUUAGUGCAAUGGCAUAAGCCAGCUUGACUGCGAGCGUGACGGCGCGAGCAGGUGCGAAAGCAGGUCAUAGUGAUCCGGUGGUUCUGAAUGGAAGGGCCAUCGCUCAACGGAUAAAAGGUACUCCGGGGAUAACAGGCUGAUACCGCCCAAGAGUUCAUAUCGACGGCGGUGUUUGGCACCUCGAUGUCGGCUCAUCACAUCCUGGGGCUGAAGUAGGUCCCAAGGGUAUGGCUGUUCGCCAUUUAAAGUGGUACGCGAGCUGGGUUUAGAACGUCGUGAGACAGUUCGGUCCCUAUCUGCCGUGGGCGCUGGAGAACUGAGGGGGGCUGCUCCUAGUACGAGAGGACCGGAGUGGACGCAUCACUGGUGUUCGGGUUGUCAUGCCAAUGGCACUGCCCGGUAGCUAAAUGCGGAAGAGAUAAGUGCUGAAAGCAUCUAAGCACGAAACUUGCCCCGAGAUGAGUUCUCCCUGAGACUUUAAGUCUCCUGAAGGAACGUUGAAGACGACGACGUUGAUAGGCCGGGUGUGUAAGCGCAGCGAUGCGUUGAGCUAACCGGUACUAAUGAACCGUGAGGCUUAACCUU